UUUAUAAAUUGCUUGAAUGAUGAUGUUUCAUGGAAGGUUGUACAUGGUGAAAUAUUUGUCAUUGGAGUGUAUAUUUUAAAACUGAUAGAUUCGUGUGUAAUGGCAUAAAAAUACUGGUGUGGUCUUACAUGUAAUGUAUGCCAAAAACUUGAACCUGUAAUGUAUUUAUGAGAAAAAACUUGUUUCAUUUCUUUAUCUGUUUGUAUUUAUUUUGACAGCUUCUUCAAGAUGUAAUGUACAAUAUGUGAAAGGAUUACGAGGAUAAUUAUCAUUAUACAGGUCUCCAAGGAUGUGCUGUUUAACUAUGUAAAGCUAAAGAAGAGGAAGAAAUAACCAUUUUGACAGAUUUAACUACAAGUUUUUGAACAUUCGAGAUUUCACAGAAUAUGUUGAGCUAAGAGAACCAGACAAAUCAUAACCUGGCAGGUAUACAUAUUUUCUUCACUUGGAAUAGUUCAUCAGUUAAAAAGCCAUAAAAUUACAGACACAAGAAGAAAAGAUAAGAGAAACAAGAAAUCAGAGUGGUAAACAAUAUUCUGUUAUUUUAUUAGUUUUUACCUCACAUGAGGCGUCCGUCUU